rnacentral:rRNA from 1 species
UACAGAGGUCUCAACCGUUGUUCGGAUUCAUUGGGCGUAAAGGGUGCGUAGGCGGUCGCGCAAGUCGGAUGUGAAAUCUUGGGGCUCAACCCCGAAACUGCAUUCGAUACUGCGUGGCUCGAGUACUGGAGAGGAGACUGGAAUUUACGGUGUAGCAGUGAAAUGCGCAGAUAUCAGGAGGAACACCGGUGGCGAAGGCGGGUCUCUGGGCCGAUACUGACGCUGAGGAGCGAAAGCGUGGGGAGCGAACAGG